GACCGGCUUGUCGCUGACACCUUAUAUAUAAUUAUAUAUGGUGCAAGAGGAAAGUCCGGGCAACAUAGGGCAUCCCGCUUCCUAACGGAAAGUAGGCCGCGAGGCUUAGUAGAUGUAGAAGAAAAUAACCGCCAUACUAAUCAUUUCAGCGAGUCUCAAUGAUAAGUUAUGGUAAGGGUGAGAAGGUAAGGUAAGAGCUUACCAGGUCUGUGGCGACACAGGCGCUGUACACUCCGGGAGUUGAAAGUUCGCGUAAACCGACGCUAUGAUAGGGCUGCCCGCCCGAUGUCGGAGGGUAGAACGAUAGAGGCAGGUGGUGACAUCUGCAGUGGAUAAAUGACAGGCACCCCUUUGGGGCACAGAACCCGGCUUACAGGUCGGCUGC
rnacentral:RNase_P_RNA from 1 species